UACGAAGGGGGCUAGCGUUGCUCGGAAUUACUGGGCGUAAAGCGCACGUAGGCGGAUUGUUAAGUCAGGGGUGAAAUCCUGGAGCUCAACUCCAGAACUGCCUUUGAUACUGGCGAUCUCGAGUCCGGGAGAGGUGAGUGGAACUGCGAGUGUAGAGGUGAAAUUCGUAGAUAUUCGCAAGAACACCAGUGGCGAAGGCGGCUCACUGGCCCGGUACUGACGCUGAGGUGCGAAAGCGUGGGGAGCAAACAGGG
rnacentral:rRNA from 1 species